rnacentral:rRNA from 1 species
GGCGAACGCUGGCGGCGUGCUUAACACAUGCAAGUCGAACGGAAAGGCCCUGCUUUUGUGGGGUGCUCGAGUGGCGAACGGGUGAGUAACACGUGAGUAACCUGCCCUUGACUUUGGGAUAACUUCAGGAAACUGGGGCUAAUACCGGAUAGGAGCUCCUGCUGCAUGGUGGGGGUUGGAAAGUUUCGGCGGUUGGGGAUGGACUCGCGGCUUAUCAGCUUGUUGGUGGGGUAGUGGCUUACCAAGGCUUUGACGGGUAGCCGGCCUGAGAGGGUGACCGGCCACAUUGGGACUGAGAUACGGCCCAGACGCCUACGGGAGGCAGCAGUGGGGAAUAUUGCACAAUGGGCGGAAGCCUGAUGCAGAAACGCCGCGUGCGGGAUGACGGCCUUCGGGUUGUAAACCGCUUUCGCCUGUGACGAGGCGUGAGUGACGGUAAUGGGUAAAGAAGCACCGGCUAACUACGUG